rnacentral:misc_RNA from 1 species
UAACUAUUAUGUUUUUCUGACGCUGAUUGCAAUUACAAAGGGUUAUAUAGUGUCCUUUUGGCAGGCAAAGCCCACCAAGGAAACAAAUAGUACGCAAAAAACAAGGGUCCAGACAGGGACGUGACUCCGAUGUUUCAUUGUGGUGAAACAUCAUUGCAUGCGUCCCCCAGACAUUUUUGAUUGGUAAUGAUCCUUCCGCAGGUUCACCUACGGAAA